rnacentral:pre_miRNA from 1 species
UAGGCGUCAUUUAAAAAUUAGUCCCUGUAAUCGUUAAUCCUGGUAAUUUGUCCUUGCAUUAUUUAAUCAUUUAAAAUUUCGUCCUUUGACAAACUUAAUCACUCCCAAGUCAUCAAAUUAGCAAAAUGGCAUGGAAAUGGACAAAAAUACCCUCGUCUUUAUUAUGAGAAGAAGAUGAAGACAGGGAUAAAAAUGUCAUUUCACGAAUGGAUGACGAGGGUAUUUUUGUCCAUUCCCAUGUCAUUUUGCUAAUUUGAUGACGUGACAGUGAUUAAGUUGGUCAAAGGACGAAAUUUUAAAUGAUUAAACAAUGCAAGGGUAAAUUGUCAGGAUUAGCGAUUACAGGGACUAAUUUUUAAAUGACGCCU